rfam:Streptomyces glauciniger strain CGMCC 4.1858 genome assembly, contig: Ga0079895_108
UCGGCCCCGGUUCACGUGACGCAAGCCCGCGGCACGACCCGGGACC